UACGUAGGUGGCAAGCGUUGUCCGGAAUUAUUGGGCGUAAAGCGCGCGCAGGCGGUCCUUUAAGUCUGAUGUGAAAGCCCACGGCUCAACCGUGGAGGGUCAUUGGAAACUGGGAGACUUGAGUGCAGAAGAGAAGAGUGGAAUUCCACGUGUAGCGGUGAAAUGCGUAGAGAUGUGGAGGAACACCAGUGGCGAAGGCGACUCUUUGGUCUGCAACUGACGCUGAGGCGCGAAAGCGUGGGGAGCAAACAGG
rnacentral:rRNA from 1 species